CAGCAAUGAUUACUUAAACCCUGUCUGUAAGCAUGUGUGUGUGAUGUUCAGGAGUGUGGCUGAGACAUAAGGUGCCCUGCCGUGAGCUGAUGCCCAAACAGCGGAGACCUCCUCUGCUUCUAGGGCGCUCACACUCUAGAAAAGGACAGAAGGCGCGUACACACUGACUAAUAUUGGGAGGGAUGUGCAAAGUGGCCCUAAGAACAUCUGUGUCUGUCAACUUCUUCCAAUAGAUGAUAACCAGUGUUAUCAUGAACCAGAUUCCCCUGGCUCACGUACCCUAGUGCUCUGUGUCAAGUCUAAACUCUUCAGUGUAAUUCACCUCCUUCCUUCUUCCCUCUUUACCUCUCACUCUCCCCUGGUCCUUCAAGACUAUGACCCUCCAUUUUAGCUAAGUACGCCUGGUUGGUUCUUUAUCGAAUCUUCUCUCUACCCUUUUAUUUACAUGAUCACUAACAGUCUUCCAACUUAAUGGCUUUUUUUUUUACACAGAUAACUACAUUUUUAACAAAGUCAAAAUUGAAAUAAAAGUGUAUUAUGUGGAAGAAUUUCUUGCAAGGAUCCAAAGCAGGCUGUAUACCCUGACAGCAGAGAGCCUGAUGUGGGGCUUGAACCCAGGCCAUGAGAUCAUGACGUGAGUGGAAAUCAGAUGCUUAACCAACUGAGCCACUCAGGUACACCAAUAACAAAUUACUUUCAUGGAAAAUAUAUGGCCAAUAGGGGUCCAGACAUUGCAUUAUAGUUCACUAGGGCUGGAAUAAACUAUAGUGAUCAUUAUGUCCUACUUCACGGCCAAAAAAACUGGGGAUGUUUUAAUAAAAUGACCUCUUCCUUUUGCA